AAUUAGUAUAGUUGAAGUGGUUAAAUAAACAAAGCAAAAACAAAUCCCUAAAACUAAGAUUUUAAAACUGUAAAUUUUCCAACUUGCUAGAUAUUAUGAGAACUCAAAUCUUGUGAGAACCACUCCUAUAUUUAUUUAUUUUUUUUUUAAUGAAGAAAGAAACAGAAAUAACAAAACUCUAUCAUCGACAUCUUAUUUGGGAAAAUAUUUUCUCUCUCUUUCUCCCUUUUUCUUCUUUCUCUCUCCUUCACGCCAGUCCUUCCAUUGAAGAAGGCCCAUAUAUUACGACAUUUUCACAGCUGUUCAUAUCAAUGGAAGAUAUCAAGAUUAUGAGCUUCGAAGGGGGGAGAGAGACUGGGAAUCAACUGAAAAAGCUUUGAGGAGAGAGAAAAAUAUCAUACAGUAGAUUGAAAUGGAGUAAUAAAUAAGGUGCUUGGACACGUAACAACAUAUGGGAGAUGGCUGUCCCUACAAGGAUGGGGGCUUGAGAGAACAUGUAGGUGAUGCAAAAUAAGACGAGGCAGGCAAUGAAGACAAGCAAGGUUCAAUUAGAGAUGCAGGUCUCUAGACAAUAUAUCAUGGAUAAGUCUCAUUUACCAUAUGAACAAAUUCUGUUGUGCCUUUUUCUCCCCAACUGUAUACUGUGAUCAACAUAAUGCAAAAUGUUUGGUCUGAAUCA